rnacentral:rRNA from 1 species
AUUGAACGCUGGCGGCAGGCCUAACACAUGCAAGUCGAACGGUAGCACAGAGAGCUUGCUCUCGGGUGACGAGUGGCGGACGGGUGAGUAAUGUCUGGGAAACUGCCCGAUGGAGGGGGAUAACUACUGGAAACGGUAGCUAAUACCGCAUAACGUCGCAAGACCAAAGUGGGGGACCUUCGGGCCUCACACCAUCGGAUGUGCCCAGAUGGGAUUAGCUAGUAGGUGGGGUAAUGGCUAACCUAGGCGACGAUCCCUAGCUGGUCUGAGAGGAUGACCAGCCACACUGGAAAUGAGACACGGUCCAGACUCCUACGGGAGGCAGCAGUGGGGAAUAUUGCACAAUGGGCGCAAACCUGAUGCAGCCAUGCCGCGUGUAUGAAGAAGGCCUUCGGGUUGUAAAGUACUUUCAGCGGGGAGGAAGGCGGUGGAGUUAAUAACUUCACCGAUUGACGUUACCCGCAGAAGAAGCACCGGCUAACUCCGUGCCAGCAGCCGCAGUAA